rnacentral:SRP_RNA from 1 species
GCCGAGCUUUGUAACGCAAGCUUGUAACCCGAGUGGGGGCUUUGAGGUGCUGGAACAUUGGCUCAGUAUUAGCUGGUCGGGUUCGGGUUGGCUAUUUACUGGCCUGCCCAUUCCAAGCAAAGCGUUGAGCCAUGUGGCUUGGGCGAAGGCUCUGGGCUUCAUGGUUCUUAGAGUGGUGGGCACUGCGUAAGGCUGGUUUCACAGAACCUCCUAUUUUCCCCUGCCUGAAGAUAAUGCAUAAAAGAAAGAAAACACUGAUUUUGAAGAAAGUGAACAAGUUUUUAGAUCCAGCGAUUGU